rnacentral:tRNA from 1 species
UAUUAAUUAAUGUAUGAAGCAUAAAAGUUUUUGAAGCUUUAAGAAAUAGUUUAAUUCUGUUAUUAAUAA